AGAGUUUGAUCCUGGCUCAGCCUGAACGCUGGCGGCGUGGCUAAGACAUGCAAGUCGCACGGGCCUAGCAAUAGGUCAGUGGCGGACGGGUGAGUAAAGAAUCGCUAACGUACCCCAUAGUCCGGGAUAGCUGUCCGAAAGGGCAGGUAAUACCGGCAUGACAUCCCCGGGAGGCAUCUCCUGGUGCUCAAAGGCGUAAGCCGCUUUGGGAGCGGGCGAUUUCGUAUCAGCUAGUUGGUAGGGUAACGGCUUACCAAGGCGACGACGCGUAGCCGGACUGAGAGGUUGGCCGGCCACAUUGGGACUGAGACACUGCCCAGACUCCUACGGGGGGCUGCAGUAACGAAUCUUCCGCAAUGCCCGCAAGGGUGACGGAGCGACGCCGCGUGGAGGACGAAGUCCUUCGGGAUGUAAACUCCUGUCAGGGGCUACCAAGUUCUGAGGGGCCCCAGAGGAAGGCACGGCUAACUCUGUGCCAGCAGCCGCGGUAAGACAGAGGUGCCGAGCGUUAGGCGGAAUCACUGGGCUUAAAGCGUGUGUAGGCGGGCCGUUAAGUGCCCCGUGAAAUCCCCCGGCUCAACCGGGGAACUGCGGGGCAUACUGGCGGCCUUGAGCCACUUAAGGGCAGACGGAACAAGCGGUGGAGCGGUGAAAUGCGUAGAUAUCGCUUGGAACGCCGACGGCGAAAGCAGUCUGCUGGGGGUGUGCUGACGCUGAGACACGAAAGCCAGGGGAGCGAACGGGAUUAGAUACCCCGGUAGUCCUGGCCGUAAACGAUGUCGACUAGGUCGCGGGCGCCUCUGACGGUGCUCGCGGCCGAAGCAAAAGUGCUAAGUCGACCGCCUGGGAAGUACGGUCGCAAGGCUAAAACUCAAAGGAAUUGACGG
rnacentral:rRNA from 1 species